AAAAAUCUCAAAAAAAAGAGUUCAACCAAGACAACGAGAUGUAGAGAAACAUAAUCGGAUCGUCGUAUAGGCUCUGAUACCAUGUAAACAUUGAUAUUAGACUGAGAAAUCAUAGAAACUGUAGAGAGAGAAAUUAGAGAGAAGACAGAGCGUUUGGAACUCUCUGGAAAUGAGAGAAAUAUUAUUACAGAGAAAAAUGAGAGGAAAU
rnacentral:lncRNA from 1 species